rnacentral:rRNA from 1 species
CGGCCGCGUCGACGAGGAAGCCACGGCUAACUACGUGCCAGCAGCCGCGGUAAUACGUAGGCGGCAAGCGUUGUCCGGAAUUAUUGGGCGUAAAGCGAGCGCAGGCGGUUUGAUAAGUCUGAAGUUAAAGGCUGUGGCUCAACCAUAGUUCGCUUUGGAAACUGUCAAACUUGAGUGCAGAAGGGGAGAGUGGAAUUCCAUGUGUAGCGGUGAAAUGCGUAGAUAUAUGGAGGAACACCGGUG